AGAUACCAGCCGUGUUUUCCAGAGUGCCAAGAAUGUCAGCCUUUAGAGGGAUUGGUGGGGCUGCUUGUUUAAGCCAAUAGGCAGAGAGUACAGCGUUAAUGUCAUCUCGCCGCCCGUGAGUCUCUCUGCGCUUUAACCUGUGGUGCUGUACCAACACCAGAACGCGAGCUGAGCUGUUAAAUCAACGCCGCUGCUGGUCUGUGUGGUGAAACUCUCACGUCGUUUCUCUCUAUAUGAUGUUCUGAAAAGGCGUUGUAUUCUAUUCAUUCGAACUUGGAAUAGUUCACGGUGAGACUAGAACGGAGGAACAUAAUACUGUAGGUGCAGCACUACUAUUUAAAGUGGCGCCGAUGACACCAAUCGUGAAUAUUGUUCUACUCAAUUAACGGAAUAUCCUUACCCCUACCCAUAACUCCGCGCAAUCAGUCUUUCUGUCUUCAGCUGACUCCUGCACAAGGAGCUCUUAUUCAUUCCACGCCCCCCCCAUCCUUCCCUCUCACAACCACCAUUUCGCUGAUGAGCGGCCUGUAGGGAGGAGUGUGAUGCUGUAUCAUCAGUGGAUCUCCACUUUGUCUCAAAGUGUUUACCAGGGGACCGGCAGCUGAUUGUCCAGAAGGAAAACGCUUUGAUUGGUCCGAUUUCAUCAGAUGAUGAUGCCACCCUGUCUGUUUCAGGAAGGACCGUAUUAUAAUAAUGAAGUCAAAAAGGGUUUGAACUAACACAGUACUAACGCAGUACUAACGCAGUACUAACGCAGUACUAACACAGUACUAACGCAAUACUAACACAGUACUAACACAGUACUAACAUAGUACUAACACAGUACUAACACAGUACUAACACAGUACUAAUGUAAUACUAACAUAGUACUAACACAGUACUAACAUAGUACUAACGCAGUACUAACACAGUACUAACACAGUACUAACACAGUACUAACACAGUACUAAUGCAAUACUAACAUAGUACUAACACAGUACUAACACAGUACUAACGCAGUACUAACAUAGUACUAACACAGUACUAACACAGUACUAACACAGUACUAAUGCAAUACUAACAUAGUACUAACACAGUACUAACACAGUACUAACACAGUACUAACACAGUACUAGCGCAAUAUUAACACAGUACUAGCACAGUACUAACACAGUACUAACACAGUACUAACGCAAUACUAAUGCAGUACUAACACAGUACUAAUGCAAUAUUAACACAGUACUAACACAGUACUAACACAGUACUAACGCAGUACUAACACAGUACUAACGCAAUACUAACGCAGUACUAACACAGUACUAACACAGUACUAAUGCAAUAUUAACACAGUACUUACACAGUACUAACACAAUACUAACACAGUACUAACGCAAUAUUAACACAGUACUAACACAGUACUAACACAGUACUAACACAGUCCUAAAGCAAUACUAACCCAGUACAAUACUAACCCAGUACUAACGCAAUAGUAAUACAGUACUAACACAGUACUAACGCAAUAGUAACACAGUACUAACACAGUACUAACGCAGUACUAAUGCAGUACUAACACAAUACUAACGCUCUACUAACACAAUACUCACACAGUACUAACACAGUACUAACGCAGUACUAAUGCAGUACUAACACAAUACUAACGCAAUACUCACACAGUACUAAUACAGUACUAACACAGUACUAACACAAUACUCACACAGUACUAACACAGUACUAACGCAGUACUAAUGCAGUACUAACACAAUACUAACGCUCUACUAACACAAUACUCACACAGUACUAACACAGUACUAACGCAGUACUAAUGCAGUACUAAUGCAGUACUAACACAAUACUAACGCUCUACUAACACAAUACUCACACAAUACUAACACAGUACUAACACAGUACUAACGCAGUACUGAUGCAGUACUAACACAAUACUAACACAAUACUCACACAGUACUAAUACAGUACUAACACAGUACUAACACAAUACUCACACAGUACUAACACAGUACUAACGCAGUACUAAUGCAGUACUAACACAAUACUAACGCUCUACUAACACAAUACUCACACAGUAUUAACACAGUACUAACACAGUACUAACGCAGUACUAAUGCAGUACUAACACAAUACUAACGCUCUACUAACACAAUACUCACACAGUACUAACACAGUACUAACACAGUACUAAUGCAGUACUAACACAAUACUAACGCUCUACUAACACAAUACUCACACAGUACUAACGCAGUACUAAUGCAGUACUAACACAAUACUAACGCUCUACUAACACAAUACUCACACAGUACUAACGCAGUACUAAUGCAGUACUAACACAAUACUAACGCUCUACUAACACAAUACUCACACAGUACUAACGCAGUACUAACGCAAUAGUAACACAGUACUAACACAGUACUAACGCAGUACUAAUGCAGUACUAACACAAUACUAACGCUCUACUAACACAAUACUCACACAGUACUAACACAGUACUAACGCAGUACUAAUGCAGUACUAACACAAUACUAACGCUCUACUAACACAAUACUCACACAGUACUAACACAGUACUAACGCAGUACUAAUGCAGUACUAACACAAUACUAACGCUCUACUAACACAAUACUCACACAGUACUAAAGUCUGCACAGCAUUUCAGAACACAGCAUUUCAGAGAACAGAACUGUGCUGUAGCUAUGGUACCGGUAGCCCUGUAAACAAGGUAGUUGUGGUUACCGUAGUUUCACUACAGGGUGGCAGGUAGCCUAGCGGUUAGAGCGUUGGGUCAGUAACCAAAAAGUUGCUGGAUUGAAUCCCUGAGCUGACAAGGUAAAAAUCUGUUGUUCUGCCCCUGAACAAGGCAGUUAACCCACUGUUCCCCGGUAGGCCGUCAUUGUAAAUAAGAAUUUGUUCUUAACUGACUUGCCUAGUUAGAUAAAGGUUUUAAAAACUACAGUGUUGGUUGGUAUUGUAGAGGUCUGUGGAUAGAAAAGUAUUUUGACAAAUCGAGGUGUCCACCAUUUUGGUGAGAAAUGUGUACCUAUAUUUUUUUUUUUUACCUUUAUUUAACAAGGCAAGUCAGUUAAGAACAAAUUCUUAUUUUCAGGAACAGUGGGUUAACUGCCUGUUCAGGGGCAGAACGACAGAUUUGUACUUUGUCAGCUCGGGGGUUUGAACUUGCAACCUUCCGGUUACUAGUCCAACGCUCUAACCACUAGGCUACCCUGCCACCCCACUUCUGCUGUGAUGCAGAACCACAGUACUCAUUUUCCUUUCUAACACAAACUAUCUUUGUUUAUUGUGGUCUGUAAUUAAGUGCCGGAAUAUCCUCCUUGACUACAACCAUUCUAUUUCAGAGAGAGAGAGAGAGAGGGGGGUGUAAUGAUAUACUGGUAUGUCCAUGGAGGUGUCAUAAUGCCUGUGUUGCUGUUGUGUUGAAGAGGGUCCAGACAUUCCAUGUUUAUGAGUGGGGGAGAUGCUCCAGUGGGUGAGAACUUGCAGAGGCAUAUCAUUAUGACUCUGUAUACACAGAGCCUGGUCCCUGGCCUGGCCUACAUUCUAGCAGGGUACAGGAGAGCUGCUAUGGAGGGAGUCGCUAUGGAGUAGAAUUAGGGUGAUGCAACACACACACAGCUGAAACAGGAGAAGGAAAUCACUUCUUAACAGGAAGAGAGACACAUGGACCACAACAACAGAAUGACAAUUGUUGAACAUCUGUCUCAGUUCAUUUAUUAAUAAAGUCUGGAGCCAGAAAUAACAACAAUCACAUAGCAGCCCAAACGCCACACCAUAUUUUCUCCAUUAUGAAAACAGACCUGAGUUCAGUUCUUAUCUGUUAUAAUCAAAUAGCAGCCCAAAUGCAUCACUAUAUUUUCUCCAUUAUGAAGACCUGAAUUCAGUUCUUAUCUGUUAUUCUUGUCGGCCUUUCUUCCUCUCCCUUGACGCUGACUGUGCAGGGGUGUGUGUGCGUGCCUGUGUGUGCGUGUGCAUCCUUGCAUGUGCGUGUUCAUGUCCGUACGUGUGUACGUGCUUGUGUACGUAUGUCCCUACUAAUCCCAGUCACCUUAUUAUGAGAAGCAGAUGUUUUGUUGCUCAUUUGGAAGGAGAAUUAAAUUAUUAUAAUGUUGAAGCAUGGUUCCUUUCCUCCUCUGAGUAUUGUUCCCUAUGGAGGUUUACUGUACUCUACUAAACUCUGGGUUAGAUCCUGUUUGGCCACGUGUUCCCUAUGGAGGUUUACUGUACUCUACUAAACUCUGGGUUAGAUCCUGUUUGGCCACGUGUUCCCUAUGGAGGUUUACUGUACUCUACUAAACUCUGGGUUAGAUCCUGUUUGGCCACGUGUUCCCUAUGGAGGUUUACUGUACUCUACUAAACUCUGGGUUAGAUCCUGUUUGGCCACGUGUUCCCUAUGGAGGUUUACUGUACUCUACUAAACUCUGGGUUAGAUCCUGUUUGGCCACGUGUUCCCUAUGGAAGUUUACUGUACUCUACUAAACUCUGGGUUAGAUCCUGUUUGGCCGGGUGUUCCCUAUGGAGGUUUACUGUACUCUACUAAACUCUGGGUUAGAUCCUGUUUGGCCACGUGUUCCCUAUGGAAGUUUACUGUACUCUACUAAACUCUGGGUUAGAUCCUGUUUGGCCGGGUGUUCCCUAUGGAGGUUUACUGUACUCUACUAAACUCUGGGUUAGAUCCUGUUUGGCCACGUGUUCCCUAUGGAGGUUUCCUGUACUCUACUAAACUCUGGGUUAGAUCCUAUUUGGCCGGGUGUUCCCUAUGGAGCUUCACUGUACUCUACUAAACUCUGGGUUAGAUCCUGUUUGGCCGGGUGUUCCCUAUGGAGAUUUACUGUACUCUACUAAAAUCUGGGUUAGAUCCUGUUUGGCCGGGUGUUCCCUAUGGAGCUUCACUGUACUCUACUAAACUCUGGGUUGGGUCGUGCAUAGCCGGCUGGUCUGCUGGGAACACCAUAUGAACAAAGCUCAUCUUGAAUGAAUGUCUGAAAUAAUGCUUAACAGGAUGCAGGGUGGGGGGGCAUUUCCAUUUCCUCCUUGCUAAUAGCUAACUCAUUGGAUUGUGAGUAAGCCUGCUUGACGAUACAUGAGUUACAUGUUUAACAGAAAUGUCACUACAGAUUUCACUCUUCAGAAAUAAACUUUUCAAUGGGAAAAGUAUCUCUCUAAAAUGAGUUUUGAGAUGUCUAAAACUCUGAGGGGGUCUUGGUCCUUAAUAAAGCCUCUAGCUUGUCAUCUCAGGGCUGAGGACGAGGAGAUGACGUCCCCUCUCUCUUUUUCUCUUUUUCUAUCUUUCUUUCUUUCUCUCUCUCUCUGCUCUCUCUCUGUCUCUGUCUCUCUGUCUCUGUCUCUCACUCUCUAUCUCGCUCUCUCUCUCUGUCUGUCUCUGUCUGUUUCUCUCUUUCUCGCUCUCUUUCUCUCUCUCUCAUAAAGGCAUAUCCAGGUUUUUAUUAGCUGUGUAGUAGCCCUGUGCCAACUCCCUGUCCUCUGUCUCUCAGUCAGUCUAAUUUAAUAUUGUUAACUGACACAUUCCACUUAACGAGUCUAGAAGUCACUCUGACCUUUGUCUCUGCAGCUGAAAGGUGAUCUCUCGCUCUGAUGCUGAAAAUAUGAUAUUUCUCUCUGCAGCUGAAAGGGUGAUCUCUCUCUCUCUCUGAUGCUGAAAAUAUGAUAUUUCUCUCUGCAGCUGAAAAGGUGAUCUCUCUCUCUCUGCAGCUGAAAGGGUGAUCUCUCUCUCUGAUGCUGAAAAUAUGAUAUUUCUCUCUGAUGCUGAAAAUAUGAUAUUUCUCUCUGCAGCUGAAAGGGUGAUCUCUCUCUCUCUGCUGCUGAAAGGGUGAUCUCUCUCUCUGCUGCUGAAAGGGUGAUCUCUCUCUCUGCUGCUGAAAGGGUGAUCUCUCUCUCUCUCUCUCUCUCCUGCUGAAAAUAUGAUAUUUCUCUCUGCAGCUGAAAGGGUGAUCUCUGUCUCUGAUGCUGAAAAUAUGAUAUUUCUCUCUGCAGCUGAAAGGGUGAUCUCUCUCUCUCUGCUGCUGAAAGGGUGAUCUCUCUCUCUGAUGCUGAAAAUAUGAUAUUUCUCUCUGAUGCUGAAAAUAUGAUAUUUCUCUCUGCAGCUGAAAGGGUGAUCUCUCUCUCUGC